rnacentral:lncRNA from 1 species
GCAGUAAUAGCAAGUAUCUUUGGUGGAGACCUUUUUCGCCUUCUUCUUGGAGAUGCUAGCCUUAGGGUCCAAUUUUUUCUUAAAAUCCUUCUUGCCUUUCUUCUUGUUGAUCUUAUCUACAAGAAGAACUAGAGCCUUUUCAUAUUUGAAAUGGCUCUAUGCUAUUUUUAGCAUAUUCAGCAGUACAGACAAGCUAAUGUUCA